UCCGCGUUAUUCGCGGCAGUCUCUCUAGAGGGCCCAACUGAAUGAUGGCAACUAGAAACGAGGGUUGCGCUCGUUGCGGGACUUAACCCAACAUCUCACGACACGAGCUGACGACAGCCAUGCAGCACCUGUCUCAUGGUUCCUUACGGCACUCCCACAUCUCUGCGGGAUUCCAUGGAUGUCAAGACCAGGUAAGGUUCUUCGCGUUGCAUCGUAUUAAACCACAUGCUCCACCGCUUGUGCGGGUCCCCGUCAAUUCCUUUGAGUUUUAGCCUUGCGGUCGUACUCCCCAGGCGGGGCGCUUAAUGCGUUAGCUGCGGCACGGAGAACGUGGAAGGUUCCCCACACCUAGCGCCCAACGUUUACGGCGUGGACUAC
rnacentral:misc_RNA from 1 species